rnacentral:lncRNA from 1 species
AAAGUUCAAAGCACUUAUGAAGCAGCUAUUUAUUUCUCUGUAAAUUUAGGGGUCUUUGUUUUGUAGCAUCGUUGGUAGCUACCUGGCAUAGGGAAGAAUCAGGCUAUCUGAUGGCAGUUUUUUUGAUGGGUACAACAGGCCGUGGCUUGCUAAUUCACUGGCCUCCUUGCCAGUAGGCUGUGGAAUGAGCUACGCUCAGAAGUGAGCAUGGUCUCAUUCUGCAGGCUGUAUACUAAAUACAAUUUGUUCUUUCAUUUGGGUUUUGGACAUUCUUCGGAGACCACCUGUAGCAAAAUACACUCUGCUAAUUUUGGGGUUGUUGUGGUGAUAUUUCUUUUUGUAUAAUACCCUUCCACUUUUUAAUGGAAGAAGUUUUGAAACAGUCUGGAUAUUUCAGUGAAUCCAAUGGAAGAUCCCAAAGGAGGGCAAUGGAUUCCUUGGAUCUGAAUAGGCUACCGUCAGCAUUUCCAGGAAGGUGUUAGAACCAGAAAACCAGAUGCUUUCACAAGUGUGGAGGGGAGGAAGGAAGGAGAAGGGGCUUCAAAAUUGUCACAUUUAUGUAUCUUCCUCUGAAUCCACUCAAGACUACUGGUAGGAUCAGAUUAAUGACUUGGCAGUCUGGUUGCACUCUUUCCUUUGCAUUCUUGUAU